GGGUGUCAGAAAGUACACAGGAUACUGCUGGUGCAGCCAGCGCUCAUAGCGACGUGCUUUUGAUCCUCGAUGUCGCUCUUCCUAUCCAUUCAAGCAGAUUGAAAAAAGGUAUGAUGUUCACCAUUUAAUAGGGAACGUGAGCUGGGUUAGACCGUCGUGAGACAGGUUAGUUUACCCUACCGUUUCGGUAGAUUUUCAAAGUAUUUAGAUAGUAGCACAACUCAGUACGAGAGGAACCGUUGUGUCACGCCACUGGAUUAUUCAAUUAUUUGAUCAAAUAGUGUUGAGAAUCUAACACGUGUUGAAAUAAUGGCUGAAAGCCUCUCAAGCCAGAAUUUCGUCUAGAUGAAUACUUUGUCUUUUUCUUGUUACUUUAGUACAAUUGAAAAUUAUAUACGUUGUAUUUAUUAUCUCGUGUAUUACUCUAUCAAAAGGGUAGUGAAUACUGAGUUAACAAAAUUUAAAGCAUAACUGUUGCUUAUAGACGAUGGCAUCAGAAAUCGGUGUUGUAAGCUUUAGAGUUUCUUAAUCAAUACUCUCGGGUAUUGAAUGAAACGAUUUGCUGAGACUUAACCGUAAUUUCUAUUUAAAUUU
rnacentral:ncRNA from 1 species